GGCGCUAGUGGUAACUGCCAACUGGCAAGUCUGCAGUACAGUAGUCUCCUAUCUUUGGGUUAGCUCUGAAAUACGUAAGCAAAACUUUGACGUGUCAAAAAAAAUUCCAAGAGAAGUCCGAAUCAUUUUCGGUGUUGGAUUACAAAAUCCUUUGCCAUAUUUAUUGCCUUAUAGUUCGGAUUGAACUGAUUAGUUGAGGAGGAUUGCCAUGUCGACCAAACGAAUUUUUAGCAGUAUAUUGUUGCUGCUACAUUUAAGUUAUGGGUUUUAUCUUCCCGGUUUGGCUCCCGUCAAUUACUGUAUUAAAAAUAAACAAAGUGACUCAUGCAAAAAUGAUGUACCAGUUUUUGUUAAUCGUCUCAAUUCAGAAGAAGCUAUAAUUCCUUACGAAUACCAUCAUUUUGACUUCUGCACUGAUGACCAUGAAACAGGCCCGGUUGAAAACUUGGGCCAAGUUGUUUUUGGUGAACGAAUUCGUUCUAGUCCAUACAAGUUGGAAUUCAAAAACAAUCAAGAAUGGAAUUAUGCUUGCAAGAAAUCAUAUCAACCUGGCAACCAAGAUGAUCUGAAGAAAAUUAAGGAACUAAUUCAUGGCAUAUCAUUGAACUAUCAACACCAUUGGAUUGUUGACAACAUGCCUGUAACAUGGUGUUAUCAAGGUGAACCUGGCCAACAGUUCUGCAGUACUGGUUUCCCAAUGGGCUGUUAUCUUCCCAAGUCUGGAAAACCAAAAGAUGCCUGUGUUAUGAAUCCUGCCUUCAGCAAACCGGAUACUUAUUACAUUUUUAACCAUAUUGAUCUCACCAUUACCUAUCACGGUGGAAAAGGAGAAACUUGGGGGGCCGAGUUGGAUGAUAAUAUUGGGCGAAUUUUGAGUGUCAAAGUUGGAUUACGCUCUCUUAGCGUAGAAAAAGAUCCUACGUCGCCUCCAAUGAUCGUUCCUAAAGAACUAAAGGAGCCGCUUACAAUCACGUACACCUACUCCGUAAAAUUCAUUGAUGAUCCUAUGACGAAAUGGUCAUCUCGUUGGGAUUAUUUACUCGAAUCGAUGCCGAGUGCUAACAUUCAAUGGUUUUCCAUUUUGAAUUCGUUGGUUAUUGUCCUCUUUUUAUCUGGCAUGGUAGCAAUGAUUUUGCUACGUACCCUGCACAAAGAUAUCGCCCGCUACAAUCAAAUUGAUUCUGGAGAAGACGCACAAGAAGAGUUUGGUUGGAAACUUGUUCAUGGAGAUAUUUUCCGCCCUCCGCGAAAGGGAAUGUUGCUCUCAGUUUUUGUGGGAUCGGGUGUUCAAGUUUUCAUCAUGACUUUGAUCACACUGAUCUUUGCUUGUCUUGGAUUCCUUUCACCGGCCAACAGGGGUGCUCUAAUGACAUGUGCAUUAGUUCUGUACGUGUGCUUAGGGACACCAGCCGGAUAUGUGUCAUCACGAAUCUACAAAUCAUUCGGGGGCGAGAGAUGGAAAUUGAAUGUUCUUCUGACGUCCAUGCUUUGUCCUGGGAUUGUCUUUGGAGUCUUUUUCAUCUUAAAUUUAGUUCUUUGGAGCAAAGGUAGCUCUGGCGCUAUCUCCUUUGGCAUAUUGGUAGCAUUGUUAGCCCUUUGGUUUGGCAUUUCGGUUCCACUUACCUUCGUCGGUGCAUUUUUUGGCUUUCGUAAAAGGCCCAUUGAGCACCCUGUUCGGACAAAUCAAAUCCCACGGCAGGUUCCUGACCAAAGUGUUUACACCCGUCCGGCACCAGGCAUCGUCAUGGGAGGCGUUUUGCCGUUUGGUUGCAUCUUCAUCCAGCUAUUUUUCAUCCUAAAUUCACUGUGGUCCAACCAAAUGUACUACAUGUUUGGAUUUCUCUUCUUGGUCUUCAUCAUUUUGGUCAUCACAUGUUCAGAAACUACCGUUCUACUCUGCUACUUUCAUUUGUGUGCUGAGGACUAUCACUGGUGGUGGCGCAGUUUUUUGACAAGCGGGUUUACAGCCUUUUACUUGUUCCUUUAUUGCGUCCACUAUUUUGUCACCAAACUGGAAAUUCAAGAUGCCACAUCCACUUUCCUUUACUUUGGAUACACUUUCAUCAUGGUUUUCAUGUUCUUCCUUCUUUCCGGGACCAUUGGUUUCUUUGCUUGCUUUUGGUUUGUCCGCAAAAUUUAUUCAGUGGUGAAAGUGGAUUAAUUUUAUGUUACAAAAAUGCUGGCCAUACUUACUAGCAAGCAUUAAUAAAGCUCAUGCACACCAGUAUUGAUUGCAUCAUGAUUUUCCUUGUAAUAAGAUAAGCAUUUCUACACAUGUUUUUUUUUUAUUGGUCAUACUGGUAGAAAAAGAAAGGAGUAAAAUUGACUAUUCAAAGAUAAA
rnacentral:misc_RNA from 1 species